rnacentral:rRNA from 1 species
AUUGAACGCUGGCGGCAGGCCUAACACAUGCAAGUCGAACGAGUGGCGGACGGGUGAGUAAUGUCUGGGAAACUGCCCGAUGGAGGGGGAUAACUUCUGGAAACGGUAGCUCAUACCGCAUACCAUCGGAUGUGCCCAGAUGGGAUUAGCUAGUAGGGGGGGGAACGGCUCACCUAGGCGACGAUCCCUAGCUGGUCUGAGAGGAUGACCCGCCACACUGGAACGGAGACACGGGCCAGACUCCGACGGGAGGCAGCAGUGGGGAAUAGUGCACAAUGGGCGCAAGCAGGAUGCAGCCAUGCCGAGUGUAUGAAGAAGGCCUUCGGGUUGUAAAGUACUUUCAGCGAGGAGGCGUUACUCGCAGAAUAAGCACCGGCUAACUCCGUGCCAGCAGCCGCGGUAAUUC